rnacentral:rRNA from 1 species
UGCCUAGCCACAAACCUUGAAUAUUUACACACAACUCCGCCAGGGGAUUACAAGCAACAGCUUAAAACCCAAAGGACUUGGCGGUACCUCAAACCCGCUCAGAGGAGCCUGUUCUAUAAUCGACACCCCGCGCUAAAACCCAACCACCUAUCGCAACGUCAGCCUAUAUACCACCGUCCCCAGCUUACCUUUUGAAAGAAAAACAGUAAGCAAAGCGACCACAUCAAUACGUCAGGUCAAGGUGUAGCAUAUUAGGUGGAAUGAAAUGGGCUACAUUUUCUUUUUAAGAACAAACGGAUAAUCCUAAUGAAAAUAGCUUUGAAGGCGGAUUUGACAGUAAAAAGAAACCACUAUAUUCUCUUUAAGUCGGCCCUGAGGCACGC